rnacentral:rRNA from 1 species
CCUACGGGCGGCUGCAGUGGGGAAUAUUGGACAAUGGGGGCAACCCUGAUCCAGCCAUGCCGCGUGUGUGAAGAAGGCCCUCGGGUUGUAAAGCACUUUCAGUGAGGAAGAACGCCUGGUGGUUAAUACCCAUCAGGAAAGACAUCACUCACAGAAGAAGCACCGGCUAACUCCGUGCCAGCAGCCGCGGUAAUACGGAGGGUGCGAGCGUUAAUCGGAAUUACUGGGCGUAAAGCGCGCGUAGGUGGCUUGAUAAGCCGGUUGUGAAAGUCCCGGGCUCAACCUGGGAACGGCAUCCGGAACUGUCAAGCUAGAGUGCAGGAGAGGAAGGUAGAAUUCCCGGUGUAGCGGUGAAAUGCGUAGAGAUCGGGAGGAAUACCAGUGGCGAAGGCGGCCUUCUGGACUGACACUGACACUGAGGUGCGAAAGCGUGGGUAGCAAACAGGAUUAGAUACCCCGGUAGUC